GUGGGGAAUCUUCCGCAAUGGACGAAAGUCUGACGGAGCGACGCCGCGUGAGUGAAGAAGGCCUUCGGGUCGUAAAGCUCUGUCAUCAGGGACGAACGGCCGGUGGAGUGGAAAGCCACCGGAUUGACGGUACCUGAGAAGGAAGCCACGGCUAACUACGUGCCAGCAGCCGCGGUAAUACGUAGGUGGCAAGCGUUGUCCGGAAUUAUUGGGCGUAAAGCGCGCGCAGGUGGGAUCUUAAGUCCAUUUUUAAAGUUCGGAGCUCAACUCCGUGAUGGGAUGGAAACUGGGAUUCUUGAGUACCGGAGAGGAAAGCGGAAUUCCCCGUGUAGCGGUGAAAUGCGUAGAUAUGGGGAGGAACACCAGUGGCGAAGGCGGCUCUCUGGUCUGUAACUGACGCUGAGGUUCGAAAGCGUGGGUAGCAAACAGGAUUAGAAACCCGUGUAGUCC
rnacentral:rRNA from 1 species